ACAAAUUCAACAAAGACAUUAGACAAGGCAAUCAAAGUGUUGAGCUAACAAAUAAAAAAAGAUUUUCUAAUGCAUUCAAAACAAAAACAUAAAAAUGAAAUGAAUAGAGGCAGAUGAAAAUACAAGAAAUUCUCAGAAAGAUUUCGAUAAAAAUAAAAAAAAUAGAUAAAUAUCAAAAUUUAUAAACCGACCCCCCUUAAUUUACUUUUUCAUUUACUUUUUCAAUCAAUCAAAAAACCUUGCAUAUAAUAGAACCCACGGUUUGAAAGUAAAAAAAACAAACCUAGGGCACGAAACUAAAUAGAUCCACUUGACUUAUCACAAUGAAUUAUAUUUGUUCGAUACACUGUUGUCAAUAGAAAUGUUGCGAAAAGAAUAUAUGGAAAAAAAUACAAUAAAUUCAAUUGACAGUUAAAAUACAAACUGAUCAAAUCGUUGGAUUGACACUGCAUAUCUAAAUAAUUCUAUUCUACACGUGUAGAUGAGAAAAUAAAUAAGGACGUGGUGAAAAAGUCCCUGAUUUAUUUAAUCCACACCAAUAAAAAUGUAUUCAAUAAAAAAUAAAAUAAGUAGAAUAAGCAAACUUACCUCGAUUCCCUCUUUCUUUUUUAUAAGACUUUGUCGCAUAGAAUAUGAGAAAACAAUGAAAAAA
rnacentral:lncRNA from 1 species